rnacentral:lncRNA from 1 species
AAGAAAUACACAGUGGCCUGGGGAGAUGGCUCAAUAGUUAAAAGUACUACCUGGUUUUCCAGAAGACCCACAUAGAUCCAUAUAGAAGCUGACAACCUUUCAUAACUCCAGUUCUGGGAGAUUCGCUUCUCUACAAAAAUUAGUUUUUGUGCCCUUCUUGCCUAUACAAUUAUCCUUUAUCUAUUUCCGUGAGCCUCUUUUAAGAAAAAUGUAAUUGUGGAAUAUAGUUCCUCCUCCCAGCAAAUGUGUGUAUGCUUCCUUUAUUGAUGGUUAUGCAUCUACUUCCAUGGGCUUUAUCUCCCAUUGUUUAUCUUUAUCAAUCUCCCCAUUUAAUAAACUUAAUCUCUCUUCUUCUACAUCAUGUGGAAAGGUCCUUUCAUUGCUAUAAAGUGUCUACAGAAAUAUACUAACAUCUUGGGGUAGACAUGCCAUGCACAAUUCUUCCUUCCUUCCUUCCUUCCUUCCUUCCUUCCUUCCUUCCUUCCUUCCUUCCUUCCUUCCUUCCUUCCUUCCUUCCUUCCCCCACCCCCCCCCUCUCUCUCUCUCCAUUUCUUUCUUUCAUUAUUUUUUUCUGGUGUCACUUCUAGUUAAAUAAAAGACUGUGACUCAGAGACAGUAAGUGGCCUGGGAGGCACCUUACAGUGACAGCCACAGCAGAAUGAAUGACCGGGAGUAAAUUUUGUUAUCAGUGGAAGAAGCGUCGGAGAGCAAAACUAUGCUUAAAAGGGAAGCAAAUGAUUUCUGGCCCACUUGAAAACACAUAUACUAAGCUAAUUGACUAAAAAUCGAAAUGAACAACAUCAAUCUUUCAACUUAAAGGGUUGGAUUGAGUUUUUGAGUUAGGUGUCAUUUGUCCAUGUUUUACUACAUGAAUGAUCUCUUAAAAGGCCCACAGAAGCCAUCCUUUUGUUAGGGCAAACUCCCAAAACAAUACUCCAUGUCUACAAAGAGAGGUUUAAGUAGCAAAAGAAUCCUUAAUUUUCAGAAUUGGUAAUUUAGACCCAAUAGUUAUUUUAAAUUCUAAUUGAAAUGAUACAUUUAUUGAGACAAUCUGUUAUUUCUCACAGUUUCAUUAGUAAAAUAAUUAAAAAUUUAAAGACUUUUUCUUUGUUCACAAAAAUGUAUUCCACUAUUUUAAAAGAGUUUGAAAAUGGGGAGGGAGUGGCAGGACCUAUGGCCCAGUGGUUAAGAGCACUUGGCUGUUCUUGCUGAGUACCCAGAUUCCAGUUCCCACAAAGCAACCCACAGCCCUCUGUAAUUUCAGUUCCAGGGGAUCUGAUGCCCUAUUUUAUUCUCCAUAGGAAAAGGCAUAGUAGUGGUACAUAGACAUGCAUGCAAAGAAAAAUGCCCAUAGACAUAAAACAAGAUAAAUUUAAUUCAAUUUUUAAAAGAAUGGAGUGCACACGUUAAGCAGUGCACAGGCUGGUGGGGGAGGUGCUACCACACUCCAGGCUGCUGGGGGAGGUGCUACCACACUCCAGGCUGGUGGGGGAGGUGCUGCCAGACUCACAUGGAUUGUAGAAGCCUAUCCUUGGCUCACCCUACUCUUUCUAUCUUGACACAAAUUGGGAUUUUUAAAUGGUCUUUUGUGUCUGAAAAAUCCUUUCUCCUAGUCAUUUGCAUUUUCUUUUAGUAGGCACACAGUAUUCAUUUUGAUACUACCAAAUCAAUAUACACCCUAAUCCAAUAUUUCUGACUUUGACUUUGCUUACUGAAUUAGAAGGUCAAGGCCAAUACAGAUAAAAAUGUCAGGUCAUUUCUGCAAGAGAAUUUGUGGUCAGUGACUUCUUUAGGUACCACUCUGGUUCAGUAUUUCUUGCUUUUGGUAACCACAUGAGUGAAGAUUUUUUUAAAUUUUUGAUUAAGUACACUGUCAUUUAAAAGAAAACAACACUGAACGUAUUUUCUGGUGGCCACUGACAAAUAAAGAACUUGAGGAUAAGGGAAUAUGGUUAGAUGAUCAAAAAACUCAUGGCAACACUAUUAAGAUCAAUAUUCAGUAGUUAAAAUUAUGGCUGCUCUUCCCUCUCAUAAGUGUCCUGGCUUUCCAGUAACUCAACAAUUCCUUCUUCUAUUCCUUGAGCAUUACAAGUCAGUGUGUCAUUGCCACAGGCCUAAGUAUUUCUUCUCUAUGUGUUUUAUUUGGGAAGAAUAGAGCAACCCACUAGUGUUUAUUUAGCAUUUAGUAGUUUUAUUGGUUUUGGCAAUGCCAAGGAUGAAAUGUAGCUCAGAACACAAAGCAUAUGCUCACUGAAAAGGUCACUCUCUGUGAUAUGUCUGGUACUGAGUCUCAUAGAAAAUAGGAGGAUGAUUAUUAUGGUCUAUAUGUCUGACUAUGCAAAUUUAUCUUAGUAAAGUUCAAAUCAAGGUCUAUUGGUAAUUUAUUCAAUAGAAUCAACUUCAAUUGUUGUAAGCAGUGUUUUAUAUUAAGUACUGAGCCAAAAAUGGGAGGUAAGGAAACUCAGAUGAAUGAGAUGGGCUCUUCCCACAAGAAGCACACAAUCAUGUGGCCAAGCAGGUAUGUGCAUACUGUGAUAAAAAUGUGUGCAUGGCUUAUAACAUAGAACAAUUAUAAUACCAUAAAUUCCUUUUUAUAAAGAAAGGGCUCUUAAAAAUGGGUUUGUCAAAACUCAAUAUGGGGCUUAUGGAAGUGGAUAUUUUAUCUGAGUUGAGAACCAAAGUUACAUUGGAUUUUAAAAGUUGGAAAAUUGGAGGAAACAUUAGCAUCAAAGAUAAAUGUAUGAACAAGGGAAGAGAAAUUUAGAUAAGUAGAUGAAUGCCAGACUGGCUGGGAUACAGACAUUUUACAUGGAUGAGGAAGGGAUGAAAGGUUUCUUUAGGCCUCCUAAGUUUGUAGGAUUUAUUGUACAAUAAACCAUUUAGAAUAAGUAUUGCCAGGCUGGUGAAUGGCUCAGUAAAGAAAAGUACUUGCUGCCAAGCUCGAUGACCUAAGUUCAAUCCAGGACAAUAUAGGGCAUGCAGGUUGUCAUAUAACCUACACACACACACACACACACACACACACACAUAUUUAUAUAUAUAUACACACACACACACAUAUGCACAUAUACAUCAUGGAGAAAAAGUAUUGGAAAAUGUGUACUGUAAAUUAUAGUAGUUAUGAAUCACUGCUGGUGUUUUCCCACAUUUCUCUGACUUUGUUAAGCAUUCCCUAGCUGUCUCUUCUGGUGUCACUUUCUCGAGUAUCAGAUACUCGUUGUUAAAGGUAGCCAAAAUAUGCUAACUAGGAAAUUAAAUAAGUAAACAAUUCUUGGUUUUCCAAUUGUGUCUCAUUCUCAGCAGUGCAAUGAAAUCUUUAACUUCCUUCAGUGCUUCUCAUAUGUGAAAUGUCUCUUUGCAGUGUGCAGCUAACUGCAUUAAGAGAUCAACUGUUGCACUACUUCAGUGCUUGAGUUCAAGUGCCCUUUAUUUUACUAAUUGGUGAACCCAGUUAUAAAAGUGGUGACCCUGUGAUUAGCCUAUGCCAAAGAGAUGCUCUCAUGUGUUCUUGCUAAAGUAGAAGAUGGGGAGGCUUGGCUUAAUAUAAAUAGGAAAGCAUCACUUACUGAGUUCCUAAACAUCUAAGUAAGAACAAAUACUCUCUCCAUGUAGAUGGAUAGAAUCAAAAGAAAUUUGUAGCCAUUUUGCUCUACAGCCAACUGUGAAUUUACUAACACAGUUCAUAGGAAGUGUUCAGGUGUUGAAGGCAAAUGAUCACAGGGCUUUGGGCGGUCUGCUUCUAAACAUCUAUUGGGAGUUUUGGAACAUAUUCCCCAAUGUAUAUUGGUGGAAUGUCAUAAAGAUCCUUUGCAUGUAAAAUAGAUCCUUAUGUCCUCAAUUUCUUAUGUGUUUCUGAACAAUAAUUAUACAACAAUUUUCAACAAGUUCAUACAGAUGUGAUUAAUAUGUGAAGUGAUGCAAAAAGAUUUAGAUUGCGAAACAAAUUUCCCUUUACUUUUCUUACUUUGGCUCCACCAGAGAGGAAUCUAUGUUUAAUCAUUAAACUGACAAAACAUUUACAUGGAUCUUAAAAAGCAUAAUAUACAACUGAUUUUAAAGUUACUUUCUUUAAUUUACAAACUCCUUCUUUGGCCCUUGGAGUGGCUUUCAACUCUUCACUAUUGCACGUACCACUAUAAUGAACUGAUUCACAUUGGGAUAUUCAUAAUAAUCAUGUUUUAAAAUGGCCAUUGUUUACUUAUUUUUCUUUGUUGGCAGUUUUAUACAUAUAUAAAAUGCAUCCUGGUAGCUUUUUCCCUUUAUGUUUCUCCUUGCCCUUCCAUUCCCACAGAAUUCCUUUUCUUCCCUGCCCCCUACCCCGACUUUCAGGUAUUGUUUAUGUGUAUGACCUACUGAGUUUAAUUAGAGUUGAAUAAGCAAGUUUUUCAAAACAAAUUAGCUGUAUAAAACAGUUCUGAGAAUAGUGCAGAAACUCACAUGCCCAGUAAUCAUCUCUAUUAUCAGUGUGACAUUCUUAUUAUAUUUGACAAGUAAAUACCUAUGUUUUUUUUUAAUUAGGUAUUUAUUUCAUUUACAUUUACAAUGCUAUCCCAAAAAUCCCCCACACGCUCCCCCACCUACCCACUCCCACUUCUUGGCCCUGGCGUUCCCCUGUACCGAGGCAUAUAUAGUUUGCACGACCAAUGGGCCUCUCUUUCCAGUGAUGGCCUACUAGGCCAUCUUCUGAUUCACAUGCAGCUAGAGACACUAGCUCUGGGGGUACUGGUUAGUUCAUAUUGUUGUUCCACCUAUAGGGUUGCAGAUCCCUUUAGCUCCUUGGAUACUUUCUCUAGCUCCUCCAU